rnacentral:rRNA from 1 species
GACGAACCGUGCGAACGUUGUUCGGAAUCACUGGGCUUAAAGGGCGCGUAGGCGGGCAUUCAAGUCGGUGGUGAAAUCCUCCAGCUUAACUGGAGAAGAGCUGUCGAUACUGGAUGUCUCGAGGGGUGCAGGGGUCUGCGGAACUUCGGGUGGAGCGGUGAAAUGCGUAGAGAUCCGAAGGAACGCCGGUGGCGAAAGCGGCGGACUGGGCACCUUCUGACGCUGAGGCGCGAAAGCCAGGGGAGCAAACGGGAUUAGAUACCCCGGUAGUCCUGGCCCUAAACGAUGGGUACUAGGUUGAAGGCUUACAUGGGCUUUCAGCCGGAGCAAAAGUGUUAAGUACCCCGCCUGGGGAGUAUGGUCGCAAGGCUGAA